CUGCUAUCACUCUUGGGAUGGGACCCUGCGGUGCAUUAGCUAGUUGGUAAGGGUAACGGGGCUUUACCAAGGCAAUGAUGCAUAGCCCGAGUUGAGAGACUGAUCGGGCCACAUUGGGGACUGAGACACGGGCCCAAAACUCCUACGGGGAGGGCAGCAGUAGGGAAUCUUCCACAAUGGACGCAAGUCUGAUGGAGCAACGCCGCGUGAGUGAAGAAGGGUUUCGGCUCGUAAAGCUCUGUUGGUAGUGAAGAAAGAUAGAGGUAGUAACUGGUCCUUUAUUUGACGGUAAUUACUUAGAAGUCACGGCUAACUACGUGCCAGCAGCCGCGGUAAU
rnacentral:rRNA from 1 species